GCGCAGACCGCGUCUAAUCCACACGCCACCGGCGCGAGCCGGGGGUGCCAGGAGCCGGGGAACCACGUCCCACCUGGGGUGAAUCGUCCUCGAGAGCAGCCACCGCUGCGGAGGGGACGUAGGGCAUGUCGUUGCCCGAACCCGUCAGCUCACCCGGUAGACGUGACGACAAUGAGGGA
rnacentral:sRNA from 2 species